rnacentral:rRNA from 1 species
UGAAUUGAAGCCCCAGUAAACGGCGGCCGUAACUAUAACGGUCCUAAGGUAGCGAAAUUCCUUGUCGGGUAAGUUCCGACCUGCACGAAUGGUGUAAUGAUCUGGACGCUGUCUCAACCGUGAGCUCAGUGAAAUUGUAGUAUCGGUGAAGAUGCCGAUUACCCGCGAUGGGACGAAAAGACCCCGUGAACCUUUACUAUAGCUUAACAUUGAAUUUGGGUAAUUGAUGUGUAGGAUAGGCCGGAGGCUUUGAAGCGGGCACGCCAGUGUCCGUGGAGCCGCUGUUGAAAUACGGCCCUUUGAUUAUUUGAGUUCUAACCCGUUGUUGCGGGGACACUGUUUGGUGGGUAGUUUGACUGGGGUGGUCGCCUCCAAAAGUGUAACGGAGGCUUCUAAAGGUGCCCUCACGGACGAUUGGUAACCGUCCGUAGAGUGUAAUGGCAUAAGGGCGCUUGACUGGGAGACUACAAGUCGAUCAGGUAGGAAACUAGAGCAUAGUGAUCCGGUGUUUCCGUAUGGAAGGGACAUCGCUCAAAGGAUAAAAGGUACUCCGGGGAUAACAGGCUGAUCCCUCCCAAGAGCUCAUAUCGACGGAG